rnacentral:rRNA from 1 species
AGGAAAAGAAACUAACAAGGAUUCCCCUAGUAGCGGCGAGCGAAGCGGGAAGAGCUCAAAUUUAUAAUCUGGCGCUUUCGGCGUCCGAGUUGUAAUCUCUAGAAGUGUUUUCCGCGUUGGACCGCACAUAAGUCUGUUGGAAUACAGCGGCACAGUGGUGAGACCCCCGUUCACGGUGCGGAUGCCCAAUGCUUUGUGAUACACUUUCGAAGAGUCGAGUUGUUUGGGAAUGCAGCUCAAAUUGGGUGGUAAAUUCCAUCUAAAGCUAAAUAUUGGCGAGAGACCGAUAGCGAACAAGUACCGUGAGGGAAAGAUGAAAAGCACUUUGGAAAGAGAGUUAACAGUACGUGAAAUUGUUGGAAGGGAAACGCUUGAAGUCAGACUUGCUAUUCGGGGCUUGCUCCGAGUUGCAGGCCAGCAUCAGUUUUUCGGGGCGGAAAAUCACGGAUUGAAGGUAGCAGUUUCGGCUGUGUUAUAGCUUUCCGUUGGAUACGUCCUGGGGGACUGAGGAACGCAGUGUGCUUUUAGCGAGGGCUUCGGCUCUUUCACACUUAGGAUGCUGGUGGAAUGGCUUUAAACGACCCGUCUUGA